UAAUUAAUUGUUUUGGAAAGAGGGAAAAGAUUAAACAAAUAAGCCCUAGCCUCCCUCUCCUUGUUCCUCUCCCUUUCCCUCUUCCCCCCUCAUCAUGAAACUCAUCCACUGCACAAUCAAACAUUCUUGCGCGUUCUCCCUCCUGACAACACCACAGCGCGAGCGAUGGCGAUUGAAGGUCGAAGCAAGUUCAGCCCGACGCGAAACCCACCAGCUCCAGCGGCAAUUGUUCCCUGACGCCGCAACUUGCAGCUGCAAACAAAACCCACGAUCGACGACGACUACGAGCAGUAUUCAGAAGCACCUGCACGCGAACUCAGUGGCGGACGUCAACCUCCCUCUGCACGAAAUCGAGUGAGUCCCACGUGCGACCACGAGUGAUCUAGCGGUGGUGCGGCGUUUGGCUACAGAUGCAGCGACGUUCGAUAGCAGUGGCGACCUUGUAGCAGCAAUCCACGCGGUUUGAACACCCUGCAGCAAUGUUUUUCCCCUUUUUAAAGGUUUAAGCAAAAUUAUACACCAACCAGCAAGGCUUUGAGUCGAUUGGGUAAGUCUUAGUGUGUAAGAAUUCCCUGAAUUCCUUUUCGAACUAGAUUAAGGUUCUUAAAGUCUGUCUCCAAUGUUUGAAAGCUCUUAAUUAUAGAUUUGGAAUAGUUUUGGGAUUAUUCGAACACUUUUUAGUGAGUUUCAAGGCUGUCUUGGUGACUUUAGGCGUUAUAGCCUUAUUUAGUUUCAUUCGACUUUAAUUUAGGUGCCGUAAUUUAGUUUAAAACUCUGGGUACUCUUCGUUUGUAGUUUAGACUUGAUUUGAGGGGUUCGGUUUGAGGUUCAACGUUGUUUUGGGCAUCUUUCGUAUAGAUUAGAAGUGCUUUAAUACACGUUAGGUAAGUGGAUUUCUACUUGAAGUGUAUGUUUGUUGUUUGAUAACAUGUUGCCUGUUUUAUGUAUAUAUUAUAUUAUAUCACUUAUUCUCUAAAAUACUUCGUGGUUUUGCACGUUUUCAUAUGUUGGAUGCCUAAGCAUGCGGUAAAUGAGCUAUUAUUAUUGUGAUAUGAUUAUGAAUUUUUGAAUGACUGAGAACAUGUAUUUGUUGCUUAUGUGUGGACUGGUUAUAAAGUAUUGUUUAGAAGUUUCUGAUUGUCCUUAUGCAUUCUAGUGAGUUUGUGUGAGAGAAAAGUUAGUGAACCUUGUGAGCUUGUAAAUGAAAGUAAAGGGAAUAUCACUUAUCUCAAGUGAAAAUGGAAGGGUGGUAUGUCAUCGAUGGAUUGAAAUGAACAUUGAGACCUUGGGUAAAAAUGGUCAAGGAUCAAUGUGAGGUAGAAGCCUUAGGUAAAAAUGGUCAAAUGUCAAUAUAUAGUUAAGACCUUGGGUGAAAAUGGCCAAGGGUCGAUGUGCACUCGAGUCCUUGAGUGAAAAUGGCCAAGGGUCAAUGUGUAAUCGAAGCUUUGGGUGCAAAUGGUCGAGGGUCGAUGUGUGAUUGAGACCUUAGGUAAAAAUGUCAGGGUCGGUGAGCAGUUGAGGCCUUGGGUAGAAAUGGUCAAGGAUCGGUGCGGAGUGGAAACCUUGGGUGGAAAUGGAAAAGGGUCUACAUGUAGUUUGAUGGCCAUCGGUAAAAGUGGUCAAGGAUCAAACAUUGAGUAUUGUAGAGAAGUGUUGAGUCCUUGAGUAAAAGUGGUCAGGGAUCAACGUAAUUCGAAGGUGUGAUAGCAAUCUUGAUGUGUAUUGAAUAUGUGUGUGCUGAUGAGUUCGUAGAGUUUAUGGAGAUAUUGAAAUAGCAUGUUUUAAUAUGUUGACAUCUAUAUAACAUGUCAUGUAUCUUGCAUGUCUAAUGAGUAUGUAAUGUUGUGGUGACUAGCAUGUUGUUUGUACUGUAAGUUGUAUGAUGGCUCUUUAGGUGUGAGCCACUUACCAGUACAAGUGUGUACUGACCCCCACCAAGUUUUAUAGGUGCUGGCGAUCAUUAUGAUUUUGGUGAUGCUGAGGAGGGAGCUUGGGAAAGAUCGGUCCUUAGACUUAUGUCCUUGUUUUCUUCCCUUUUGUUAGGAAUUUACUUCAUUUUGAAAUAUUUGAGUUUUGAAACUUUGGUUUAUAUUCAAGUUGGUUUUCUAGUCGUUUUUUAGUUGAGAACUUGUAAAAGGUUUUAUUCAGUUUAUUAUGUCUGAUUGCCAUAAUGGUUUAAGUUUGUUUAAUUUUGUUGAAUCUGAUUGAAAAUAUUUUUAAUAUUAGGUUUCGAAACUUUGUAAUUCUGUUGAGGGAAGUUUGAUGUUUGUCUAUUAUUGGGAGUGUAUUUCUUUGAAACAAGUGUUAAAGUAAUUUUUUUUUUUUUGUUAUGUUUAUGUUGUUAUGUUGCUGAAAUAUUUUCCAAAGUACAAGAGUUUGUAAAGUUAGUUCAGGUUCAAUUAUUGUAACGAUCCUUAGAUUAGCAUUGAAAUUUGGGGUCAUUACA